UACAUAGGGGGCAAGCGUUAUUCGGAAUUAUUGGGCGUAAAGGGCGCGUAGGCGGCAUGGCAAGUGGAUGGUGAAAUCCCUCGGCUUAACCGAGGAACUGCCGUCCAAACUGCUUCGCUUGAGACCGGGAGAGGUGAGUGGAACUCCGAGUGUAGAGGUGAAAUGCGUAGAUAUCGGGAGGAACACCUGUGGCGAAAGCGGCGCACUGGACCACAACUGACGCUGAGGCGCGAAAGCUAGGGGAGCAAACAGG
rnacentral:rRNA from 1 species